UCAAUGUCCCUUCAUUUUCGUCAUCUUCUAGGGGAUGCAGCGCUGUCGUCUGCUACACUCGCAUUCUUUCAAGUUGCUUCAUCACACAGCACUUCCACAGCAUGGAGCACACAU
rnacentral:lncRNA from 1 species